UCCCGGUUGGCCCGGGCAGUCUCGCGUGAAAAAUACAACACACGACAAGGGUUGCGCUCGUUGCGGGACUUAACCCAACAUCUCACGACACGAGCUGACGACGGCCAUGCAGCACCUGUCACCUGGCUCCCGAAGGCACUCCGUAAUUUCUUACAGAUUCCAGGGAUGUCAAGCCUCGGUAAGGUUCUUCGCGUAUCGUCGAAUUAAACCCCAUGCUCCACUGCUUGUGCGGGUCCCCGUCAAUUCCUUUGAGUUUUAAGCUUGCGCUCGUACUCCCCAGGCGGCAUGCUUAUCGCGUUAGCUUCUUGGCCCAAGGGGUCGAUACCUCAAACCAAUAGCAUGCAUCGUUUACGGCGUGGACUAC
rnacentral:misc_RNA from 1 species